UGGUAUUGAUUGGUGCUUGCAUCAUGAUUUACAUUUGAGUGAGUGGCGAACUGGUGAGUAACACGUGGGAAACCUGCCCAGAAGCGGGGGAUAACACCUGGAAACAGAUGCUAAUACCGCAUAACAACUUGGACCGCAUGGUCCGAGCUUGAAAGAUGGCUUCGGCUAUCACUUUUGGAUGGUCCCGCGGCGUAUUAGCUAGAUGGUGGGGUAACGGCUCACCAUGGCAAUGAUACGUAGCCGACCUGAGAGGGUAAUCGGCCACAUUGGGACUGAGACACGGCCCAAACUCCUACGGGAGGCAGCAGUAGGGAAUCUUCCACAAUGGACGAAAGUCUGAUGGAGCAACGCCGCGUGAGUGAAGAAGGGUUUCGGCUCGUAAAACUCUGUUGUUAAAGAAGAACAUAUCUGAGAGUAACUGUUCAGGUAUUGACGGUAUUUAACCAGAAAGCCACGGCUAACUACGUGCCAGCAGCCGCGGUAAUACGUAGGUGGCAAGCGUUGUCCGGAUUUAUUGGGCGUAAAGCGAGCGCAGGCGGUUUUUUAAGUCUGAUGUGAAAGCCUUCGGCUCAACCGAAGAAGUGCAUCGGAAACUGGGAAACUUGAGUGCAGAAGAGGACAGUGGAACUCCAUGUGUAGCGGUGAAAUGCGUAGAUAUAUGGAAGAACACCAGUGGCGAAGGCGGCUGUCUGGUCUGUAACUGACGCUGAGGCUCGAAAGUAUGGGUAGCAAACAGGAUUAGAUACCCUGGUAGUCCAUACCGUAAACGAUGAAUGCUAAGUGUUGGAGGGUUUCCGCCCUUCAGUGCUGCAGCUAACGCAUUAAGCAUUCCGCCUGGGGAGUACGGCCGCAAGGCUGAAACUCAAAGGAAUUGACGGGGGCCCGCACAAGCGGUGGAGCAUGUGGUUUAAUUCGAAGCUACGCGAAGAACCUUACCAGGUCUUGACAUACUAUGCAAAUCUAAGAGAUUAGACGUUCCCUUCGGGGACAUGGAUACAGGUGGUGCAUGGUUGUCGUCAGCUCGUGUCGUGAGAUGUUGGGUUAAGUCCCGCAACGAGCGCAACCCUUAUUAUCAGUUGCCAGCAUUAAGUUGGGCACUCUGGUGAGACUGCCGGUGACAAACCGGAGGAAGGUGGGGAUGACGUCAAAUCAUCAUGCCCCUUAUGACCUGGGCUACACACGUGCUACAAUGGAUGGUACAACGAGUUGCGAACUCGCGAGAGUAAGCUAAUCUCUUAAAGCCAUUCUCAGUUCGGAUUGUAGGCUGCAACUCGCCUACAUGAAGUCGGAAUCGCUAGUAAUCGCGGAUCAGCAUGCCGCGGUGAAUACGUUCCCGGGCCUUGUACACACCGCCCGUCACACCAUGAGAGUUUGUAACACCCAAAGUCGGUGGGGUAACCUUUUAGGAACCAGCC
rnacentral:rRNA from 2 species